AUUGAACGCUGGCGGCAGGCCUAACACAUGCAAGUCGAGCGGAUGAAGGGAGCUUGCUCCUGGAUUCAGCGGCGGACGGGUGAGUAAUGCCUAGGAAUCUGCCUGGUAGUGCGGGAUAACGUCCGGAAACGGGCGCUAAUACCGCAUAUGUCCUGAGGGAGAAAGUGGGGGAUCUUCGGACCUCACGCUAUCAGAUGAGCCUAGGUCGGAUUAGCUAGUUGGUGGGGUAAAGGCCUAACAAGGCGACGAUCCGUAACUGGUCUGAGAGGAUGAUCAGUCACCCUGGAAGUGAGACACGGUCCAGACUCUGACGGGAGGACGCAGUGGGGAAUAUUGGACGAUGGGCGAAAGCCUGAUCCAGCCAUGUCGCGUGUGGGAAGAAGGUCUUCGGAUUGUAAAGCACUUUAGGUUGGGAGGAAGGGCAGUAAGUUAAUACCUUGCUGUAUUGACGUUACCAACAGAAUAAGCACCGGCUAACUUCGUG
rnacentral:rRNA from 1 species